AGGGGUUUGGAUCCAUGGGCUCAGGACGAACGCUGGCGGCGUGCUUAACACAUGCAAGUCGAACGGAAAGGUCCCGCUUUUGUGGGGUGCUCGAGUGGCGAACGGGUGAGUAACACGUGAGUAACCUGCCCUUGACUUUGGGAUAACUUCAGGAAACUGGGGCUAAUACCGGAUAGGAGCUCCUGCUGCAUGGUGGGGGUUGGAAAGUUUCGGCGGUUGGGGAUGGACUCGCGGCUUAUCAGCUUGUUGGUGGGGUAGUGGCUUACCAAGGCUUUUGACGGGUAGCCGGCCUGAGAGGGUGACCGGCCACAUUGGGACUGAGAUACGGCCCAGGCUCCUACGGGAGGCAGCAGUGGGGAAUAUUGCACAAUGGGCGGAAGCCUGAUGCANCAACGCCGCGUGCGGGAUGACGGCCUUCGGGUUGUAAACCGCUUUCGCCUGUGACGAAGCGUGAGUGACGUGUUAAUGGGUAAAGAAGCACCGGCUAACUACGUGCCAGCAGCCGCGGUGAU
rnacentral:rRNA from 1 species